UGAAAACAGCUGACUGGCAUAGAGACAACAUGGAAUAUAACCUUGGAAGCUGUGUGCUGAAAAAUGACAGAGCUACAGGUGGAAGGAGUCUGGGUCCCUGAAUGACCACUUGGAGGGGAUGCACCUGCCAAUGAAGAGUACCACUUUGGAAAUUAUGUGAGUGAGAAAUAGACUGAUAUUUUGCUUGGGCCAUUAUAUAUUUGUAUAAUUGUGUCCUUAAUUUUUGCACUAUAUGAUUAUUAUUAAAUUACUUUUUACCACU
rnacentral:lncRNA from 1 species